AACCACCAGCAACAUAACUAAAACCAACAAUAUUGCUUGAAUCAACCAUCUCAAUAAACCAGCAAAAUCAGCUGAAUGAAGCACCUGGAAUUAACAUCAGCACAGCAAGAACAAUCUUGAAUGAACACGAAGAACAAACCAUACUGCCAUCAAAUGCCACAUAGUCUCAUACUGCCAUCAAAUACAAGUAACAUAUUUAACAAAACCAAAUACAAGUGAGAUGUUGGAAAACAUCAAAUAAACUAAACCAAAUGCCACUAUAUUCACACUUCUAGUAGUUAAACUAGAUGAUAUGUUCAAUUAAACAAAAUGUAGUUUGAUACUGAUGACAUUACAUUCAAAAUUCCAAAAAGGUAGAUUUCCAUCAGUAAAGCAUCAAAACCAAACCAAUCCAAUCCAGCAUAAUUACAAGCUCAACCCAAAACAACUAUACGUUAUAUUGAAAUAUCAAAAUUGGCUCUCAAACCAAGCUAAUACAGCCAAGUAAAUGAACAUGAGAACUUAAAACAGACCCACACUAACUAAAGUAUGUAAUAAACAGUUCCUCAGCUUAUAUGAGCAUUCGGACAUAGUUCAUCCAUUCAUACCGUACCUCAUCCAUUUCUGCCUAAGUGUAAACUGGUUUGUUGUUAAAUUGCAAAUGACCAAAUGGUUUAAUAGCAAAUAUGACGGACAAAAAUAUCAACAAAAAAUGAACAUAAAAUAUAUUACUUACAUUGUUGAGCAAUAAACUAGGAUCGGCAAUAAUAUCCCUCAUAUACAAUAUGACAUAAUAUCCACACUUAUAAGAACUAGGUUUUUUUUUUUUUGAACCUACAAUAAUAAAACUCAAUCUAAGUACGUAAUACGUUAUAGCAUGUAGUUAAUUAAAAUGAUACGCAAAAGGAAAUUGUAUUACCUGUACAAUUUUGAAUUCAAGGUGCACUCUUUUUUUAUCGCUUGUUGCUGUGAACAUGUUGAUCCCACUAGGAGUUUAAAACUUACUAUUAAAACUACUGAAAUGUUUAUAAUGGACUUAACAUUCUAUGAUGAUUUAACGAUGAUAUACCUACUUUAUUACCAACUUUUUAAUGUCUUCCACCGGAUUAUUUCCUUGCGGAUCCAUGAUUUAUCCAGUCUUUGCCACCACAUGGAUCACAACAAGAAUCCAAUGAGCUAUAUAAUUGAGCAACAACUUAUAAGUAAGAAGAAAUGAAAAUUAACAACUCAUUUAUUAAUGAAAAUGAAACUACCUAAGAUUGUAAGGAAUGAAUAUCAAUUGAGAGGGGCGACUUGGCCAAAUGAUUAGCAAUUGCUUGUGUCCUCGUUAUACUCGUUUUAAGCGCAUUUUCAACUCUGCUGGGGCUAACAUGAUCAGGAUUCAUGAAGGCAAACGGUUUCCCCAUCUUAUCAGCUAGAA
rnacentral:lncRNA from 1 species